CCUUGAAGAGGGUUCAUCAACUCAAAGCCACAAAAAUUAACAAACGCAGAUGCAGCAAGGUAAGGUACCAGUAAGUGCCAGAUUUUAGGCAGCGGAACAAAAAAAGCUGAAAGUUAUGAGAUACUCUAUAUCUAGCUUAAGAGAUACCUAAUUCUUACCUAGAUGUUAUAGCUUGCAACUCGUCCGCAAUGUUCUAAACUACAAAUUACAAAGUUUUAAUACUACA